rnacentral:rRNA from 1 species
GGUCGUAAAACUCUGUUGUUAGGGAAGAACAAGUAUCGGAGUAACUGCCGGUACCUUGACGGUACCUAACCAGAAAGCCACGGCUAACUACGUGCCAGCAGCCGCGGUAAUACGUAGGUGGCAAGCGUUGUCCGGAAUUAUUGGGCGUAAAGCGCGCGCAGGCGGUUCUUUAAGUCUGAUGUGAAAGCCCCCGGCUCAACCGGGGAGGGUCAUUGGAAACUGGGGAACUUGAGUGCAGAAGAGGAAAGCGGAAUUCCACGUGUAGCGGUGAAAUGCGUAGAGAUGUGGAGGAACACCAGUGGCGAAGGCGGCUUUCUGGUCUGUAACUGACGCUGAGGCGCGAAAGCGUGGGGAGCAAACAGGAUUAGAUACCCUGGUAGUCCACGCCGUAAACGAUGAGUGCUAAGUGUUAGAGGGUUUCCGCCCUUUAGUGCUGCAGCUAACGCAUUAAGCACUCCGCCUGGGGAGUACGGCCGCAAGGCUGAAACUCAUA